AGCAGCAGCCACGGUAAUACGAAGGGGGCUAGCGUUGUUCGGAUUUACUGGGCGUAAAGCGCACGUAGGCGGACUUUUAAGUCAGGGGUGAAAUCCCGGGGCUCAACCCCGGAACUGCCUUUGAUACUGAAAGUCUUGAGUAUGGUAGAGGUGAGUGGAAUUCCGAGUGUAGAGGUGAAAUUCGUAGAUAUUCGGAGGAACACCAGUGGCGAAGGCGGCUCACUGGACCAUUACUGACGCUGAGGUGCGAAAGCGUGGGGAGCAAACAGGAUUAGAUACCCGUGUAGUCCCUGUCUCUUAUAC
rnacentral:rRNA from 1 species